rnacentral:tRNA from 1 species
GGUUGUCGAAUAUAAAGGUUCUUACCUUACAAGGAAGAAGUCACAGGUUCAAAUCCUGUAGCAACCA